UACGUAGGGUGCAAGCGUUGUCCGGAAUUAUUGGGCGUAAAGGGCUCGUAGGCGGUUUGUCGCGUCGGGAGUGAAAACUCAGGGCUUAACCCUGAGCCUGCUCCCGAUACGGGCAGACUAGAGGUAUGCAGGGGAGAACGGAAUUCCUGGUGUAGCGGUGAAAUGCGCAGAUAUCAGGAGGAACACCGGUGGCGAAGGCGGGUCUCUGGGCCGAUAUUGACGCUGAGGAGCGAAAGCGUGGGGAGCGAACAGG
rnacentral:rRNA from 1 species